rnacentral:lncRNA from 1 species
AUGAGGCAUUGCCAGACCCCACUGGGUUACAGCCUGGCCACCCCAGACCUACUGGAUAACUCCAGCUUCCCAAAAAUCCCAGCUGAAUGCAGGUCUAGGAAAGGCAGCAGACAGAGGCAAGAAGGAUUGUCCCCAGGAGCUGUUCCUGCCCUCCGUGGGUACUUCUGCACCAGCAAACUCCAGAGGGGCCCUGAGUCCAGAGACCUCAAGUGCAGUCAGCUCUUUGUAAGGAACAGACACUUCUGGAGCUUCCUCCCAUGUGGAAUGUUCCCAGACUUUUAUCUGGUUUGUGAUCAGUUCUGUCCAUUUUUUUUCUUACCUGUUACAAACUCAUGUAAAGUCCUGGCUAAUUUAGAUUGUAACAUAACUAAGGAUUUUGCUUAUUCAUAAUGAUUUAUUGAGCUGUGCAAAGACAGUGCUAUUUUAAGAGUUUUUAGAUGGUCUGUUGUCUUCUAAAAGGGCAGAAAAUGCAAAUGGCUCAUACAAUCAGUUGUAUCUGCUCAGACUCACUAAAUCAUAAGGAGUCAAAGCAAUGCAGCAACACUCUGCAUUUGUGGAACACUGAUGCCACAUGGCAGU